CAAUCAUCAAGCCUCACAGCCUUAAAUCUUUUUACUCCAUCAUCCAAUCUCAAAGCAUUAGACCUAUUUUCAACUGGUAAGCCAAGUUGAAUGACUUUCCUUUUCGGACCAGAGAAACUUGUUUUUAGGGAAAAUGAUUGUUGACGUCUAACUGAAGUGAGAAAAACUGACUCCCGAUCACUUCUAGUUUCACUUACAAGCUCUUUCAAGACUGUAUCAUUAGGUUUCAUAUCAUGUUGAACAGCUUCCCCCUCAUUCUCUUUCAUACACACGCCUCCAUAAGAUGAGCUCCCUAGAGCAGAAUGAAGCCCAGAGGUGACGUGACUAUUUUCUUUGGAAUUCAGAUUUGUAUCAUUUAAGUG
rnacentral:misc_RNA from 1 species